GACGAACGCUGGCGGCGUGCUUAACACAUGCAAGUCGAACGGACAGGCCCUGCUUUUGUGGGGUGCUCGAGUGGCGAACGGGUGAGUAACACGUGAGUAACCUGCCCUUGACUUUGGGAUAACUUCAGGAAACUGGGGCUAAUACCGGAUAGGAGCUCCUGCUGCAUGGUGGGGGUUGGAAAGUUUCGGCGGUUGGGGAUGGACUCGCGGCUUAUCAGCUUGUUGGUGGGGUAGUGGCUUACCAAGGCUUUGACGGGUAGCCGGCCUGAGAGGGUGACCGGCCACAAUGGGACUGAGAUACGGCCCAGACUCCUACGGGAGGCAGCAGUGGGGAAUAUUGCACAAUGGGCGGAAGCCUGAUGCAGCAACGCCGCGUGCGGGAUGACGGCCUUCGGGUUGUAAACCGCUUUCGCCUGUGACGAAGCGUGAGUGACGGUAAUGGGUAAAGAAGCACCGGCUAACUACGUG
rnacentral:rRNA from 1 species